rnacentral:rRNA from 1 species
GCAGCAGGCGCGAAACCUCUGCAAUAGGCGAAAGCUUGACAGGGUUACUCUGAGUGAUUUUCGCUAAGAAAAUCUUUUGGCACCUCUAAAAAUGGUGCAGAAUAAGGGGUGGGCAAGUCUGGUGUCAGCCGCCGCGGUAAUACCAGCACCCCGAGUGGUCGGGACGAUUAUUGGGCCUAAAGCAUCCGUAGCCGGUCCCACAAGUCCUCCGUUAAAUCCAACUGCUUAACAGAUGGGCCGCGGAGGAUACUAUGGGGCUAGGAGGCAGGAGAGGCAAGCGGUACGCAGUGGGUAGGGGUAAAAUCCGUUGAUCCACUGAAGACCACCAGUGGCGAAGGCGGCUUGCCAGAAUGCGCUCGACGGUGAGGGAUGAAAGCUGGGGGAGCAAACCGGAUUAGAUACCCGGGUUGUCCCAGCCCGUAAACGAUGCAGACUCGGUGAUGGACUGG